CUAGCCACCAUCCUCUUCUGCCCCUCACGCUCGCGCCCGCCGCCAACAGCUGCCCUCACGCUCGCGCCAAUCCCUGCCCCCAUCUCUCCCCCAAUCCCCUCCUCCAUCUCCUCCUUAAUCCCCUCCAGUUUCUCUUCGCCCCUUCUCCUCCUAUAUUCUUCUCCAUGGAUGCAGAGGCAAAGGGAACCAUGGCUUCAUGGAUGAGGAGGUGGAGCUCGAUGUGGAGGAGCACCCGGGAGGUCCCAGCAGCGCCCCAUGGAGGAUUUUCUCGCCAUCUACGCACCAUGCCCAGGUUGAAGGUGUGCAGGGAAGGUGUUUGUGUAAAUGCCUAAGGGCAAAACUGCUAUGGAAAGAUGAUAAUUUAUGUGCAUCUAGACAAAUCCAAGUUGUGGUAAGCCAUCCAUGCAGCUCGAGAAGCUGAUGCCCUCACACCUGUCAAGGAGAGGCUCCUCCAACCUUGGCGCCCUUCUCUCUGCCCGUCUUCCUCUCCCUAAGCUCGUGUCGCUGCGCCGCGACAUCACACAAAAUCGACAAUGUGGACGACAUGAUGGUGAAGCGGUCGACGGAUAAGGGGAUUAGCCAUCGGAAAAGAAUUUAGCGCUGCCCAGGCGCUGUAGUGAGCGGAGUCACGGAUAGCUGCACCAACUCGAGGCCAAUCCUAAUGUGACGCUGCCAGCCAGAACCGAGAGGAAGAUAAGGUGGAGAGGGACGGGACGGGGGAGAAGGCCUGCAUCCUCAUCGACGACGAAGAUGGGGAGGAUGCAAAGAUGGCUUCUUCUUCUUCAUCCAGGACCUGCAGAUUAUGUAGGUAGUUCGCUGGGUAACAAACUGGAGGAACGAGAUUGGUGCGAGCUGGCAAUGCGGAGAUUCAAGAGGAGUGCACUGUCGCGACUUGCAACAUGAGGAGCUCUGUCACCAUCUCCGACUUCUCCCAUCUACAUGGUUGUGAGUGCAUUCACCCAAUAUUGAGGUCUGUUAUGGAAGAAGAACAUGAAGUUCUAUAGAAGAUUAGGCCUAAUCUUCAUGUUCUACAUGUAGUGUGUGCUCUGGAGCUCUGCGCCACGACCGACAAAGUGGGAGACAUGCAGCACUGCAUGCUGGCUACCACUUCCCUCCAUCAGCGCUUAGGGAGACUUCAAGCACAUGGAGGACAUGAAGCACAUGGUGGCCUCCGAGACGCUCCCCGACUCCGACCAGAAGCUGCAGUAUAUUGCACCACCUGACAGAUUGGUUGCCAUCUGCUCGGCAACAUUGGGUAUCUGUGCAAUUAGGUAGUGUAUACCGUAGCUCAGACAAUCACCAAAAGGGGUGGGAUUGGACACCCUGUAGCAAACAAGGUUUAGGAGCCACUAUGCAUUGCAGUUGUUGUACCACAAAUGUCGUCUUCCUUCACAUAUUUACUAUCGAACUCCACUUUAUUAAAUACGUAAUAGGAUGAUGAUGUGAACAUCUUGGGUGGCAACAAAUAAAGUUUCGGUUGUAUUUAUUCUAGGUUCUUCACGAAUUUCAGUCAGGACAAUCUGCUGACUAUAUAAACAUCAGAUAUCGCACCACAUGCCACCAGCUCAAGAAGAGUCGCACCUUGAAAAAAUAGCGCCAUGACCUGGCAGGAUGUCGUGCUACGCCAAAUACUACUGUUAUGUCUGUGGUGGCCAAGAUGACAAUUGCGUGUUCUUAAAAUGAGAUUAUACAGGGAAACCUUAUGAAUCAAGUAGUGCGCUGAUGAGGUUAAUAGGUUUUUAUGGACGUGAGAGGGAUAAGCUUCAGCUACGUAUUCCAAACAAGGUUAUAUUGAGGCUUGGACAUACCAGAGAUCAACCCGUCGAGAAGCAUGCAUAUACCAGGAAACCAAAGAAACAGCCUAGAAGCAUGCGGUUUGUCCAGGACGAGCACUGCACCUGCAAUGGAAAAUAUAAGCCACUUAUCUACACUGCCAGAAGUAUCUACGUUAGCUCCAAGGAAAAACACUUGGUUAAUAUGGAGCACUCCUGGUCUACUGUAAUAUUAACAAUCACUCUGUAAUUGUAACAAGUUCCUCUCUUGGUUUGCUAUCAUGGCUACUGCACUGGGAUAAUAGUGUUUUCAUACAAUGUUGAGUUUCAUGCUACACCAUAUGCUUCGAAUCGACACAUGAAUAUAUAGAUCCAGCUGACUCAAUCAUUCUUAUAAGUGCAUAUCAGUACAGUUUGCUAUCACCCUACGAUGCAGACUUGAAUGUACUUACAUAUAGGCUCCUUUUUACAUGCAGACUCA